UUCCUUUGGUGGUACCGUCAGCUACCUCAAGGGUAGGUUUCUUCCCACCUGACAGUGUUUUACGACCCGAAAGCCUUCUUCACACACGCGGCGUUGCUGCGUCAGAGUUUUCCUCCAUUGCGCAAUAUUCCCC
rnacentral:rRNA from 1 species